rnacentral:rRNA from 1 species
GACGUAGGGCGCGAGCGUUGUCCGGAUUUAUUGGGCGUAAGAGCUACGUAGGCGGCUUGUCGCGUCGAAUGUGAAAUCUCAGGGCUCAACUCUGACAUUGCAUUCGAUACGGGCAGGCUAGAGUUCGGUAGGGGAGACUGGAAUUCCUGGUGUAGCGGUGAAAUGCGCAGAUAUCAGGAGGAACACCGGUGGCGAAGGCGGGUCUCUGGGCCGAUACUGACGCUGAGGAGCGAAAGCGUGGGGAGCGAACAGG